rnacentral:rRNA from 1 species
UACGUAGGGUGCAGGCGUAAUCGGAAUUACUGGGCGUAAAGCGUGCGCAGGCGGUUUGCUAAGACAGGUGUGAAAUCCCCCGGGCUAACCUGGGAACUGCGCUUGUAACUGGCAAGCUGGGAGUGUGGCAGAGGGGGGGUGGAAUUCCGACGGUGUAGCCAGUGAAAUGCGUUAGAGAUGUGGAGGAACACCGAUGGCGAAGGCAGCCCCCCUGGGCUAACACUGACGCUCAUGCCACGAAAGCGUGGGGAGCAAACAGG